rnacentral:rRNA from 1 species
AUUGAACGCUGGCGGCAGGCUUAACACAUGCAAGUCGAGCGAGCGGCGGACGGGUGAGUAAUGUCUGGGAAACUGCCUGAUGGAGGGGGAUAACUACUGGAAACGGUAGCUAAUACCGCAUACCAUCAGAUGUGCCCCGAUGGGAUUAGCUAGUAGGUGGGGUCAUGGCUCACCGAGGCGAUGAUCCCUAGCUGGUCUGAGAGGAUGACCCGCCACACUGAAACGGAGACUCGGUCCAGACUCCUACGGGAGUCUGCAGUGGGGAAUAUUGCACAAUGGUCGCAAGCCUGAUGCAGCCAUGCCGCGUGUGUGAGGAAGGCCUUCGGUUUGUAAAGCACUUUCAGCGAGGAGGCGUUACUCGCAGAAGAAGCGCCGGCUAACUCCGUGCCGGCAGCCGCGGUAAUAC